GUCCCUGUAGCGCAAUGGAUAGCGCGUUGGACUUCUAAUCCAAAGAGAGUGGAUUUAAAUCCCACCUGGAAUG